CUUUGGAAAUUGGUCCAUUGGAGGACUGAAGGGAGACCGCAACCAUGAACAUGUUUUCCAGUGAACUGAUGACUUCUAGUCUGCUCCAGCUAUUGAGACAGUUGACUUCCACUCCAGCCGAUGAGGGCUCAGGGAAGUGACCCUUAGCUGAAAGUCUUUGUUUGACAUGGCUUGGCCUUAAAGAUAACCCACUUGCCUGGGUUGCUAAGUGCUCAGUUCCUGUAAACACUGAUACGCAGGAACCUUCCAGAGAAAGUCCUAGCAGUGGUCUGGGAGGUGCUGUUUGCGAACAUGACUAGUAAUCAGAAAAUGCUCCUCAUUUGCUAGGAUUCAACUACUGAUAAAUGCUACCCGUAUGGUCUCACUUCCUUCCAGUGGCUCAGUUACUUGUGUGUGACUCACAGCUGAUUUUCUGGUGGGAAGUUUGGUCUGCUGUAAUGACGGUGUUUGGGUUCUUAGACGCUGGCUUUCACAGAUACAACUUUGCCAAGAAGGGAGACCAACAAGGAGUCUCCAUUCAGAGACGGAAGAGUUAUCAGCAGAUAGAACUCAAACCACCAUUGGUCACAUCAGAAGGCACAUGCCCUGAAAGCCAUUUUUAUCACAGUUCAACUGUGGUUGCUGGAGAUGAGGAAGAGAAGAUAAGAGGGAGGAAGCUGGCUUUAACUUCCUGUGUCAGAGCUCUGCCUCCUACAGAAGAACUCUUGGAGCCUUUGCAUUGUAGAGCGGCGGCCUAAAAACCUGCUGGGAAGGGGCACUGAGUGUUCAGCGACUUGCACAGGAAAUUGGAAAUCGGAGACACCGGGAUCGACCCACCCCCUCCUCUGACUCAUGUUUAAACAAACCCAACACACCCCCGACCUUUGCACCCUGCAUCUGCAGCAGGCCCUACGCACAGCCCUACCCACAGCUCCCUCUCCCACCUCUGCUGGCACAGGGCUCACUGGCUCACUGAAGGUCAGCACACCAUCAACUUCCUGGGGGAGAGAAUCCUCAGAUGUAAGCCAAAGCUGCGACUGUUUUUUUUUCCCCCCUGAACAAAGUGAAUUCUUAAUGUUUUCUUCCCCCUCCUCUUGAAAUGUCUCCUCCAUUAUAUUCAUCA